rnacentral:lncRNA from 12 species
AUAUGUGCGUGUGUGUGUACAUACACAUGUACAUAUAUAUUCUGUGUAUACUGUUUAGAUUUUGUCAUGGUGUGACGCAGUGACGCAGUGACGCAGUGACACUUUACAAUGAGGUGAAAUGCAUUAAUAACAAUUAUAAUUUAAAUUAAAUUAUUACGCUCAUGGUAAUUUAAAUGGUUUAGCAAAGGUUUUUUAAUGAAAAUCAAUCAAAUUAAGCGGACAUGGCAACACUGGAAGAAACCAUCGUUUAGGCAGGCGCCGGCUUUUCUCGCGUGAUUACACGUUCUGACGUCAUACUUCUUUGCGUUAGUCAAGGGAACUGCAGAGCGAUUUCACCUAUAUUUCUAUAAAGAGCGUUUUAGUUAAUUUAGUAUUUUAUCGUUCAUGCGUUCCCGAUUAAACACAUAUUUUAUGGCUGUAAUAUAGGACGUUGCAACGGAUACUUUGGGAUGGGUUGUGCAGACCUUAUGUUAUAGCUUGCUCUGUGUGGACAUCACCGCCACCGUGGAAGAAAACGGCAGCUCAUGGCACCAGGCCUACACAAACUCGGGCACCAGCCCCCUCCCAGCACCACCCGAACACUUGUGCAAGGCCUGCGGAGGCCAGUUUGACACCGUCAGAACGGUAAUCAGGUUACAUCUACUCCAGUUCUGCUGUUAAAGGGAUGGUUCACCCCAAAAUGAAAAUUCUGUCAUUAAUUACUCA